AUAAAUAAAUAUAUAUAUUAGUUAAAAUGAUUCGGUUCGGUUUCAAAUUCGAUUUUCGAAAGUGAAACCGAAUCGAAUCGAAUUAAUUUGGUUUCAAAAUUUCUUCCGGAUUGAACCGCAUUUUUCGAUUUCACUGAGUUUUCGGUUCGGUUUUAGAAACGGUUCAGUUUUUGCGGUUUGGAUGACCACCCCUAUAUGGCUAUCACUGGUGGUAGAGAUAUAUGAAUGAUAACCACUGAUAUCUAUUUUAUUGCUGAACAAGAUUAUUUUUUUUGUGGUUAUUGUUUCUUAUUGAUAUCCCUUAAUAGACAUGCCUAGUUAUAGAUUGGUAUCAGUGAUAGUGAUAGAUUAUGAUAUUCCUCUUUGAUAUGAGUCUAUGAUAGUAAGAUAUUAGAACCUGUAAUUUAUAUCGUUAUAUCAAUUUCAUUGAUAUUGUCAUUCAUGGGUUUAUGUUUUAGUUUUGUAGGAAUUUAAGAAUAUGGUUAUUUCUAUAGUUUUUUUUCCUACUUAAAUAUGGAAUGAAAAAUAUUGUUAUGUGGAUUACAAGACAACAUGGUGUUUGAAGAUUUUGUGGUUUAAUAGUAAAGAAGAUUUGUUUGAGUGUAUCAAUUUUUUCUUUAGAACUAUCAACUUUAUUAGAUUUUUGUAUGAAUGAAGUUCAAAAUGUAGUUGAAAUUUAUGAAGACUACAAGAAUUUUGGACUUUAAUGUCGUUUGGAAAAAGUGAAAUCGGAUGUAUAAUGUUGGUUUUGUUUUGUUUUUAAAAGCGGAUCUUUAAUGUAGGUUUUAAAUCGACAUUGUAGGGGUACAUUUAAUGUCAGUUUUAAACCGACAUUAAAGACCCACUUAAUUUAUCCUCUCACUUUCUAUUUUUCCUCCAUUUUUUUUUCAUUUCCCUCUUCACUCUCCCCUUAUCCCUAUAUCUGUUGCUCGUUCCGUGUCGCACGCACCGCCAGGUUCGUUCUUGGCCAAACAUCCCCGUAAUUUUCAUUACUUUACUUCUCAGUUUUUAAAUUUGAUUGAAAAUGAAUCCCUCGGAAAGAAAAACCAGGCCUUCGAUGCUCACACCAUCAACGAAAAACCAGGCCUUCUCUUCCCUUGCUCCGAAAAACGUAUUUCCACUUUCCCUUUUAAAAUUUCUAUUAUUACACGCAAUCUUCAAACUCCCAUUCCUAAUUGGACUUAAACAUUAAUUUGAUGGGCUCAAGUUUUUAGAUGAAUAAAUAUAUAAGAGCUCCUUUGUUUUUUAUGAUAGUGUGACAAAAUAUAGUAGAGCUCCUAAAAAGCAAUUGUUUUACAUAUAUGAGAAGUUGCAUUUUUCAGCUUGUCAUAGAUGAGGCUAAAAUGUAUAGUGAUGUAUUUUAUUUAAUAAGAACAAUUGCUUCAGACUAACUAAAGAAAACGUGAAACAUAUCAUCAUUUGGUAGCUUUUAUUUAAGUACUUAUUGUUAGUUUCUAUUGCCUUUUAGUCUUGUCACAAUUGAAUAUUGUUCUGCUGAUUUUUUCAUGUUUGCUGUUAAUACCUUGCCUACUUUUUUUUUAUUAUCUGUGUGAGUUUCAAUACUAUUAUUGACUAUAAUUCUUCUAUGUCUUUCAUCUUGAGCAAGCUUUAAUGAGUAUUCUUUUAUGGAUUUAUCUUUUCCAGUUGAUAUUGAAUAGUGUUCUCUUGCUUGGCUCAAGUAGUCAAAUGAUUGUAGGUAGGCCAACAGUACCAAGUGCAGUUGUGCAACUCCCUUAGUUGGUGGAGUUCAAUUGGAGUAUCUUUUUGUUCUUGUUUUCUAUCCCUAAAACUUGCCUGUGGAUUUUUUUUUUAGUUUCUAUAUUGUUUGAUUGUAGAGAAAAGACAUCAAGAAAGAGGCAAAAUUGGUAUGUUUCUAUAGUGGACACUUAGAACAAGUGGAUGAAGAAAGAGGCAAAACGGGUAUUUGGGUUUGUUUACUUCAAGAUUUUUGUUUUAGUUUAAUACUUCAAAACACUCCUUGUAGGUUUCUUCAGACAUUCUUCAUGUAGGAUAGUGUAGGGAUUUGUGGAGUCAUUUCGUAAUUUUCGAGAAAUAAAAGUGUUAUGCAAUUGUUUCUAUUAUUGUUUUAGAACAAUUUAUGAACUUGAAGAAGCAACAAAAUUUAAUUUCAUAUUAGAGAAAAUCUCUUUUCCAAAUACUAUAGGUCUUGAAGAACAUCGCUCGGAGAAGAGCAAAUGUCAAGAACAUCAUUUUGAUGUUUAUGAGAAAUGCAAGAAGAGAGAGCACCUAGAUACUUAUGGUUUGGAGAAGCUUGCUAUAGAGGAGUUGUGCAAACAUUAUACUAAGGAUUUUGGUAUUGAAUGCUGAAUUGGGAGGUUCCACAACAUUUGUGGUCCAUUUGGAACAUGGAAAGGUGGAAGGAAAAAGGCUCCUCCUGCAUUUUGUAGAAAGGCCCUCACUUUUGUAGACAAGUUUGAGAUGUAGGGAGAUGGUCUUCAAACAAGAUCUUUCACUUUCAUUGAUGAAUGUGUAGAAGGAAGUCAUGCUUUCGAUUUGGAUCAAAUCUGUAGUGGAUGGUGGAGAGAACAUAACGAAAGAACAAUUGAAGACUAUUUGGAAAACAUUAUAUAAUGACUACAAGUGUGUGUGCACUUUUGUUUGUUUGUUUGUUUGUUUU